CCCCACCGAGCCGCCGCCCGCCAUCGCACCCGGCGCCCCACAUGCAUUAAUGGCUACCCAGCCUGGUCGCUCUGCAGUCACAUGCGGACAUUCCCAGCCACUAGCAUCUCAGCGCAGCUCUCCGUGCUGCAGCAGGUCGGCAGGAAUGUAGUGCGCCGGUGAAAUGCAGUGGUGCCAGCUGGAGGCUCCAGGGGGGGCUGGGCGUGUGUGCGAGACGUUACACAACGAUGGGAGUUCAUUCUCAGACAGCUGUCUGCAGCACGAGGAGCAGAGGAAUGUCUGGGAGGGCACAGCACACACCCACAGACACGAAGAUACAAACACACACACAGAGGUACAGACACACAGAGGUACAGACACAAAGAUACAAACAUACACACAGAGGUACAGACGCACAGAGGUACAGACACAAAGAUACAAACACACAGAAGUACAGACACAAAGAUACAAACACACACACAGAGGUACAGACACACAGAGGUACAGACACAAAGAUACAAACACACACACAGAGGUACAGACACACAGAGGUACAGACACACAGAGGUACAGACACACAGACACAGAGAUACACUCAGACAUACACAGACUGAGAUACGAACACACACAGUGAGACAUACAGAUAGACAUACAUGUCAGUUUCAGUGACACUAUAUCCCUUGAACCUCAAACCGGGUGGGGGGGCAGAUGUAGAAGGCUGCCAGGAUCUGUGCUCGUAACUGAGGUGUUGCCCGGGUUUAGCUCAGGUCAUGAGCUCUGUCUGCGGUACCCCUCCCCCCAAAAUGAUGUCUCAGAACCUCCGCCUUCAGACUCAGCUUGGAGGCCAUGGGUAGGGGGUGGGGUUUGGUCUAUGUACCCCCCCCCCCCCGUCAAACUGCAGGGCUGUGUGCACGCACAAAGGCAUUCCUACACCACACACCUUAAUGCACCAUUUCAGGCCCCCCAGGGGGUGAUCUGCAAAAUAAUUACUUUUUAAAUUGCUGUGUCUCUCUCCUACCCAGACAAACAGAGACAGAAGUGAUAGCCUACGACGCUGUGCAAAGCGCCCCAGUGUGUCAUAAAUGACACUCCAGCAGCACACAGGGCAGCAGGCCAGGCUGCUCCACCGGGACCCUCUUUAUGUACCCAGCAUGCUGUGCGACCAUCAGUGUUUUAAGUGUAUUCAUUCCACCUGGAAAAUCCAGUCCUUCUGCAGGAAGGGGGUGACAUUUGCUGGUGCAGCCUUGGUGUCUUCAGGGGUGCCAACAUAGCAAAGGGUUGGGGGGGGGCGCAGGAGCUAAAGACAGACAGAAAACAGAUAGACUUACAGACACAGAGACACACACUCACAGAGCAAAUGAUGAGCCUGUGUUGGGAGGAAACAGGCAUUCAGGACUGAUUAGGCAGCGUGGAGGAACAGACUGGGGUGGCUCUGCCUCUCUCUGUGUGAGUGUGUGUGUCUGGGUGGGUUAUGAAUGUAUUACAUUUUGAGGACCAAAUGUCCCCAUAAUGUGAUAAAACCCUGUUAUUUGACAUUGAGUCGAUCUUUUUUUUUUU